GCAGUUUGCUUGAUUUUUUUAUGAACGCUCACUAUUACCAAGCGUAAAGCUUAAUUGGGUUUUUAUUAUUUUGCUUUUUUUGGGAGAGCUCAGCUAACCUACAUAGGAUCGGAUUGUACCAAGCGUAUAGCUUAAUUGGGUUUUUAUUAUUUUGUUUUGUUGGGAGAGCUCAGCUAACCUACAUAGGAUCGGAUUGUACCAAGCGUAUAGCUUAAUUGGGUUUUUAUUAUUUUGUUUUGUUGGGAGAGCUCAGCUAACCUACAUAGGAUCGGAUUGUACCAAGCGUAUAGCUUAAUUGGGUUUUUAUUAUUUUGUUUUGUUGGGAG
rnacentral:lncRNA from 1 species